GGUUAAGCGACUAAGCGUACACGGUGGAUGCCCUGGCAGUCAGAGGCGAUGAAGGACGUGCUAAUCUGCGAUAAGCGUCGGUGAGGUGAUAUGAACCGUUAUAACCGGCGAUUUCCGAAUGGGGAAACCCAGUGUGUUUCGACACACUAUCAUUAACUGAAUCCAUAGGUUAAUGAGGCGAACCGGGGGAACUGAAACAUCUAAGUACCCCGAGGAAAAGAAAUCAACCGAGAUUCCCCCAGUAGCGGCGAGCGAACGGGGAGGAGCCCAGAGCCUGAAUCAGUGUGUGUGUUAGUGGAAGCGUCUGGAAAGGCGCGCGAUACAGGGUGACAGCCCCGUACACAAAAAUGCACAUACUGUGAGCUCGAUGAGUAGGGCGGGACACGU
rnacentral:rRNA from 1 species